rnacentral:ribozyme from 13 species
AAAAAGGAAAAAAAAAAAAAAAAAAAAAAAAAA